UACAGAGGGUGCAAGCGUUGUUCGGAAUUAUUGGGCGUAAAGGGCGCGUAGGCGGUUCGGCAAGUCUCUAGUGAAAUCUCUGGGCUCAACUCAGAGUCUGCUGGGGAAACUGCCGGGCUUGAGUGUGGGAGAGGAGAGUGGAAUUCCCGGUGUAGCGGUGAAAUGCGUAGAUAUCAGGAGGAACACCGGUGGCGAAGGCGGGUCUCUGGGCCGAUACUGACGCUGAGGAGCGAAAGCGUGGGGAGCGAACAGG
rnacentral:rRNA from 1 species